rnacentral:rRNA from 1 species
GACGAACGCUGGCGGCGCGCCUAACACAUGCCAGUCGAACGGAGCUGAGAGAAGCUUGCUUUUCUUAGCUUAGUGGCGAACGGGUGAGUAACGCGUGAGUAACCUGCCCUGGAGUGGGGGACAACAGUUGGAAACGACUGCUAAUACCGCAUAAGCCCACGAUCCGGCAUCGGAUUGAGGGAAAAGGAUUUAUUCGCUUCAGGAUGGACUCGCGUCCAAUUAGCUAGUUGGUGAGGUAACGGCCCACCAAGGCGACGAUUGGUAGCCGGACUGAGAGGUUGAACGGCCACAUUGGGACUGAGACACGGCCCAGACUCCUACGGGAGGCAGCAGUGGGGGAUAUUGCACAAUGGGGGAAACCCUGAUGCAGCGACGCCGCGUGGAGGAAGAAGGUUUUCGGAUUGUAAACUCCUGUCGUUAGGGACGAUAAUGACGGUACCUAACAAGAAAGCACCGGCUAACUACGUG